rnacentral:sRNA from 1 species
AACAGGCCAGCAGCAAAUAAAAUCCAGACUGAACUGGACCAUGUCUCCAGCCAGCCCGCAAAACGGUGUGCCCUAGCUCGAUACGCCCUGGAAAUUGAGAACUUUAUCAUUUCACGGUUCCCUUGCUUCUUUGGCUUCCUUGCCCCUCCUCCAGUUCUCGAGGCCCCGAAGAGUCUUCAAUCCGCCUCCUAUAUAUGACUAAUUGAUGCGCCUGUUCUCGCACUGCUAAGAAGACCGAAACAGCCCGCAGAAAUGAGGUACACUAAAAUAUGCUCGUUCCCAGACGAGGAGAUACUUGAAAACGAGGAGAAAAAUAAUGGGUGGGAUCAUCAAUGAAUUAUGGGUAAUAUUUUUUGGGACAUAUUAUUGACGUGGCAGUGGGAAAGCAACAAUGUCCCGUUAACGCAAACUCAGUCUCAAUAAUGCUGGUGUAUAUGCAGGAAGUCUGGCAGCAAGCAUCUGUAGGAGUUUCUCGAUUCGAAAUACAGGCCCAUGCUGGAACUGGCAUCUCUUGAACAUUCCCCUCUCAAUAAUCGGCGUAUGUAGCACUUGCAGCUGCUAUGCAGGAUGCCGAGGCGACGAUCAACAGGAGCAAAGCUGCAGCCAGUAUCACCUCUGCUGAGAUAUGCUUCACUUCUCCCCUUUCCUAUUCGUCUGUUCAGCUCCUGCUAAAAAAAAUGGGCCUCUCAAUCCUAGGUUGCCACGGGGUGUGCAGACUUUGAUCCGUAUUGUUUCAGGCAGCCACACAGAACAAAAACAACAACGAACAAGGGAGAAAAAAAAAAAAUUUACACACUCUCUUCACCAUUGCAAACUCCAUGCCGCCGUUUUUUAUGUAAGCUGCGAGAAUGGAGCGGUGAGUCGCAACCCACAGCCGAUGUUCCAUUUUCUGGUAGUGACGAUUCCCGCAAACCUCUGAGCUCUCUAGCUGUGCUUUCUGGCCUUGCCCUGCAGUCGUCGUGGCCCCAGCUAUGGCAAUUCAGGAGUCAACAAAAAAACAAGGGGUGUACCUCCACUUUAUAUAUGAGGGAUUUUCUGGUCCGCAGAGAAAUUAGGCGCCAGGCUUAAUCAUUAACUCUUGUCUUUCAUAUGCUGUAACCUCAAACUCGGGUAUUUUUUCUUCUUUCUCCAUUGUAAUGCGAAUACGCCAACCACUCUCGCAUCUUCAACUAUCUACUGGGGAAUCUUUGCAAAACGCAUAGAGCUCGAUGUCGACCGAUUUAUAUCCUGAAUCAAGACUUGGCAGUGGGGAAAUGGUGCGGCUAUCAAUUUCAAACCCUGUGUUCUUCAUCAGGUCAAAGAACACCUCCUCGCUAUCGUGCCGUUUUUUCAAAGCCACCAGCACAAUCGCACCAGGAGAAAUUUGGACCAGUGCUGUAAGCAUUUGGACCAGGGCUGGGAGGCUGUCCGCAUUAUAAGUACAAUCCGAAACAACAAUCAGAUCAUAACCAUGUUCAGCAAUUUCGUCUGGCAUAGAUUCAUCCCAGUCAAGGACAUGGAAUCGAGCGGUGGAGAAUCUGGCAAAAGUGGCAUAUUUCAAAUUGCGGCUGAUGAUAUCCCGGACCUCUUCGAGGUCGGUAAGCAGCACCGAGCACUGAGGUACUAUCUGGGCGAUUGCGAGUCCGACAAUCCCGCACCCUGCGCCUAGCUCGAUGACGCGAAGUGGCGUGUUUUUUCGCUCAUAGAAUAGUUUUUGAAGUGUAGGAAUUGAUCCUCCUAGGCGCAUAUAUGCGCUCUGAAGUUCCAUCACACAUCCCAGCGCAGCGUCCCUGUAUUUUUGUAGAUGUUAGAUGACGUUUUGUGAGUAGUUAUGUGUAAAAGAUUUGCCAGCGGACUGAUUAGGGUGGAAAAAAAAAAAAAAAAAAAAAAAAAAAAAAAAAAACACGAAAGGGCCUUCCUCACUUACCAUAUAUGUCGGGCGAUACUAUUGCCUGUCUCUUCCCAAGCCCUCAACUCUGGUCCAAUUUCGAGCUUAAAACAUCGUUCAACCAGCUUUUCAGCCUGUGGGCCAUAACUCCCCCCAAAGUCAGCACUGCAAGCAGUAACAAUGCUGGGCGCCUUAGACGGCUCCAAGCGGUCGACCAGACCAGCAUUGGCGUUCCUCACACUGAGUCUAGCAGCAUGAUUCACAUCGGAGAUCGGACACGGCCCGAAAGCUAUCUUCAGCUCUCGAUUUCCAGCUUUCCACUUGAAUAUCUCGUCGAAUGAGGUUGUUAACUCGUUGUUUUUGGUAAACUGCAAUAUGGAAAGAAGUUCAGUGUCUUCCGCAAGGAAUGCAUCCCCCAAAUCUGUCGUGAUGGUGAUCAAUGCUUCAACGAAGCAUUGGCUAUUAGGAGACACCACUAUUUUGGGGGUUUUGAGAAAUCGGAUGUAAUGGGGCAUAGUUUAAAGUGGUUGUGGAAACAUUAGUAUUCCUGGGGAACGGGUGCC